rfam:Listeriaceae bacterium FSL A5-0209 contig000044, whole genome shotgun sequence.
UCCAUGGCGACGUGGAAUCUGAAGGAAGCUCAAGGCAAAUCUCUGAUCCGACAAACAGAAAUCACAUAGAAGGCGACAUGCAAGGAUAAGGUUGCAAAAGAAGCCGAAGUCCAAUAACUACUAGAAACUUGUAUGGUGUAGAUGUGGCGAUAGAUGGAGAAAAUGAUGCCAAA